AAAAAAAAAAAAAAAAAGUGGAAACUCAUAAAAGAAUUGAAUCUAAGGCAAGAAUGUCAAGUGUUUCAAUAGUUUCAAUUUAAUGUACGUAUCAGGUUCCAUAGUGCUUGCAUUUUAUCUUUUUGUUAAUUGUGCAGAGUGCAGAAAGAACAGCUGAGCAACCCUGAAGUCCCGUCCAAUAACCAUCCAUGAAAUGUUAAAGGUUUGUGUUGUGUUGGAUCAAAGCCCAGCUUCUUGUCUUAACAAAGUGAGCUAGGACGAGAUGAUAAAAAUGGGUGACGAUGUCUCCAAACUAGCUACCAUGGGACUAUGGCCAUGUUUGAUGGGAAGACUUUCAAUGCUUAUCAAGACCUGGAGGGUUUAAUAACAAGAGGCUGACAAUGAGAUUGAAGGGGAGAAAGUUAACUAACUUGGGCAAAUCGACAGAAUUUCUAUCAUUCAUUACAGGUUUGCUAUCAUUCACUUUAUAGGUUUGCCAUUAUUCACACCCUUUACAUAUAUUUCUUUGCAUAUGUAUUUAUGGUUUUGGUUAUGGGGGGUCUUGUGAUGAUUGAUAUCAU